AAGGCAAAGUGGUAUGGAAAAGACACUAGCUAAUUACUGUGGAUGAAAUAGACAUAUCCUAUGUGAUUGACAAGCCAAACAGAAAGAUUAAUGUCUAUUAAUGCAUGGUCAGGAAAAGUAAUGAAAACUAACGUUAGUUAGCAUAGAAUUCAACUCAAACAGUUCCAUGGGGCCAUCUUUGUCAGUGAGGUUGAGUAACUGAGUAUAUUACAGAAUGGUACGAUCAAGUCUUGCUGUUAAGGUGAAAAGAAAGAUUUUAGAAUAAAGAAGAAAAUCAUAACCUGUUUCCUGAUUAAUUGAGGGAAGAGUUCGGUGAAAUAUAGAGGCAAGAAUUCUGACACUAGUUAACAGAAGAAAGAACAUGAAUAACAGAAGCAUGAUAUUGCUGAAUUUUUCUAAUUUAAAAAUUCACUCAGAUGCCUUUCAAGAAAUAUAAGGAAUCGCUUAAAUGUGAAAACCAUCACAUAGAAUCCAAACUUUACAGCUCACUAAUGCAGGAAGAGAUGUCAUCAACUACUUAUGAAUACCCACAUCAAUGCUGCGAGCUAAUCAAGUCGAAGCAGUUUUAGACCAAAGUUUGUAUUGAUACCAGUUCAGACAGAGCUUUCAAUGGAAAUGAUGACAUGGCAACGUAUCCUGUGGUCUUACAUGGUAGAGCACAUAGUGUUUCAGAGGAAAUUGUUUCAAUUUUUAUAGUGCUGAAUUCUCAGGUUAUUUGAAAAAUCUUGGAUGAGUGCUUCAAUCCCAGACAGUGACCCUCAAUAAAGGAUCAAAUGACAACCAAGGGAUUUUUAGCCUACAAGAGAAAAAAACAGAAGAAUACAUCAAGGCAGUUAUACAUGUUUCUGAGGAUAUAAGCUUACAAAACCAUCAAAACAAACUGGUUUAUCAACUGUUUUCUGCUCUUUGAUCUGGUUGUUGUGUCUUUGAUACAUUCCCUAUUUUCAUUCUCAAAUUACUGACAUGUAUUUGCAAUAUACCAUCAACUGAUG